UUCUUCUAUUUCCAAUGAGGUAGGUAUAUAAAUGAAUGCAUUAGGGAGAAAGUUGGAGUAGCUCCUAUGGUGGAAAAUAUAGUAGAAUUGUGUCUUAGGUGGUUUGAACAUGUGUGGAGUAGACCUUUAGAAGCCCGUAGGAAUAGUAGAUCAGAUGGAAGCUAGCCCAAUUUGUAGGAAGAGGGAAACAAAAAAACUACAUGGGAAAUGAUAAAGAAGACUCGUCAAUGUUUUGUCAAUGACCAUGAUAUGAUAGAGCAUUGCGACAUUGUUCUCCAUCUAGUGGGUUAAAGGUUUGGUUGUUGUAUGCAUGAUGAGGUAGGUAGCUAUGGCUUUUAAUGAAGUCAAGUUUUUCAUAUGUAACUUUUUGAAGAAACAAUAGAUUCUUGAACUCGGCCCUCCAAAAUAACAUAUUGUAUUUCCUUGGCCUCAUUGCAAAAUAUUAUAGCUCCACUUUUGUGAGAGGCAGUUUGUUUGGUAUUCCAUUAAAAUCAGAAUGUAAAACCCAGAGAUCAUUUUCUCAUCUCAUAUAAAGCUCAUUUGUGAAAACUUUCACCCCCACUUGGAACACCAAGCUCAUUCUGAAUAGUAGGAAAUUGCUUGAAGGUAUUUCUGCAUUUUAGGAACUUGUCAAUAUAGCCACACUCCAUUGCGUGGGAAUAUGUUUCCAUUUGAGUGUAUAUAUUUAUAAGACAAACCUACAAGGCUACAAUUAUAUUGGAAAGUGAUAAAACCAACACCUUUCUCACUUUUACACUCCCUUGCUUAAUCACUUUGAACUACCAUGUCUUCUGCUAUCUUCUCAUUGAGUAUUUUCAAUCUGUUUCGAAGUUCGUAGGCCUAAGCAGCUUUCAUAUUUUAAUUAAUGGGCAUUCAAUCUAUUGUACACUGUCACUCCUGUCUUAUAAAUUUCAAUUUGCUACUAUGAAAUUCUAAACUUUCAGCUCUGUUUAAUUACCAGGUUAGAGAGCCCAUAUUUGGGAAGAAGGCACGGUCUGAAUUUGCAUAUUCAUGGAACAAAGCUGUGGAUCAGAAAUUUGGACCUUUGAUAAAGUCUUUCAGCUCACGUGAAUUGUAGAAUGUUUUGGAUGAUAUCGGUUGAAUACUGAUACUUCAACAUUUGUAAUUGUACUAUCAAAACAAACAAUACUUGGCCUUACUUUUACCUUCACAUUGUUAAAUUUUUGUGCACAAUGGUAGUGCUGCUGACUAGGCAUGAAGACCAAUGUACUGUGUUCUUAAAUACUCAGAUGUUUUGCUUCAAUAUGUGCACCAAG
rnacentral:lncRNA from 1 species